AGCAAGAAACCCUAUCGUUUCCAUUCCAAAACCCCCCAAUUAGCUCAAACCAAAUCAUCUCAAACUCUAUCAACUCUCUUUUGCUCUCAUCGGUAAGGCUCUUUCCUUUCUCAUUUUACAUAUUUUCUUUUAGCGGCAUACAUACGCCUUGCUUUUUUCCAAUUAACUAAGGAUUUUUUUUCCGAUUAGCGAGUUUUUUUGUAAAUCUAUUAUAUUCCUCCUUAUUGUCGAAUUCAUUUAUUUAUUUUGUUUCUCUUAGAUGAUUAACAUGAGUAAUUGGCUGUUACUUAAAAAAUUAUUUAAACUUUUUUACUUAUAUUUUGAAUCAUUUGGUUAAAUAAUAUGGACUAUGUAAAAUUAAGAGUGAUGUAUUUCUUACAUUGUUAUCAUAAAUCUGAAAACUAUCAUCAACGAGAAGCAAGACAUAAAUGAAAUUGUCUUUGCAUCUGUCAUUUGCUGUCAUAAUGCGAAGGUAAAGUCCAUGAGUUAAAUAGUAAGUGAAUAUGUUAUUUUUGUAGGAACUCUUUCUAAGAAUGGAAGCUGCAACUUCUGGAGCAAAUGCGGAUGUGGUUGUCAAUAAUCCUUCGCCAGUGGCAGCUCAACAACAAAGUAAAGACACUCCUCAUCGAUGCACUCCUCCUAAGAAGCAAAAAAGAACGACUCCAUCAGAAAUUUCUAAAUCUGGAAAUAGUGGCAGAGAGACGUCCG
rnacentral:lncRNA from 1 species